rnacentral:rRNA from 1 species
AACGCACCUUGCGCUCCUUGGUAUUCCGAGGAGCAUGCCUGUUUGAGUGUCAUUAAAUUCUCAACUUUGAAAGGGGAGACUUUUUUCAAAGCUUGGAUGUGGAGCUUGUGCUGGCUUUCUGAAAGUCGGCUGCUCUUUAAAUACAUUAGCAAAAUCUUUCUAAGCUCUGGUUUGAUAAUUAAUCGACGCCUUUGCUGUGAUCAAGAGGUUUGCUUCUAACGGUCCGAUUUAUUGGACAGCUUUUGACUAAGCUCAUUGACGAUUUGACCUCAAAUCAGGUAGGAUUACCCGCUGAACUUAA